rnacentral:rRNA from 1 species
UGAACGCUGGCGGCAGGCCUAACACAUGCAAGUCGAGCGGUAACAGAAAGUAGCUUGCUACUUUGCUGACGAGCGGCGGACGGGUGAGUAAUGCUUGGGAACAUGCCUUGAGGUGGGGGACAACAGUUGGAAACGACUGCUAAUACCGCAUAAUGUCUACGGACCAAAGGGGGCUUCGGCUCUCGCCUUUAGAUUGGCCCAAGUGGGAUUAGCUAGUUGGUGAGGUAAUGGCUCACCAAGGCAACGAUCCCUAGCUGGUUUGAGAGGAUGAUCAGCCACACUGGAACUGAGUCACGGUCCAGACUCCUACGGGAGGCAGCAGUGGGGAAUAUUGCACAAUGGGCGAAAGCCUGAUGCAGCCAUGCCGCGUGUGUGAAGAAGGCCUUCGGGUUGUAAAGCACUUUCAGUCAGGAGGAAAGGGUGUGAGUUAAUACCUCACAUCUGUGACGUUACUGACAGAAGAAGCACCGGCUAACUCCGUGCCAGCAGCCGCGGUAAUACGGAGGGUGCGAGCGUUAAUCGGAAUUACUGGGCGUAAAGCGUACGCAGGCGGUUUGUUAAGCGAGAUGUGAAAGCCCCGGGCUCAACCUGGGAACUGCAUUUCGAACUGGCAAACUAGAGUGUGAUAGAGGGUGGUAGAAUUUCAGGUGUAGCGGUGAAAUGCGUAGAGAUCUGAAGGAAUACCGAUGGCGAAGGCAGCCACCUGGGUCAACACUGACGCUCAUGUACGAAAGCGUGGGGAGCAAACGGGAUUAGAUACCCCGGUAGUCCACGCCGUAAACGAUGUCUACUAGAAGCUCGGAACCUCGGUUCUGUUUUUCAAAGCUAACGCAUUAAGUAGACCGCCUGGGGAGUACGGCCGCAAGGUUAAAACUCAAAUGAAUUGACGGGGGCCCGCACAAGCGGUGGAGCAUGUGGUUUAAUUCGAUGCAACGCGAAGAACCUUACCUACACUUGACAUACAGAGAACUUACCAGAGAUGGUUUGGUGCCUUCGGGAACUCUGAUACAGGUGCUGCAUGGCUGUCGUCAGCUCGUGUUGUGAGAUGUUGGGUUAAGUCCCGCAACGAGCGCAACCCCUAUCCUUAGUUGCUAGCAGGUAAUGCUGAGAACUCUAAGGAGACUGUCGGUGAUAAACCGGAGGAAGGUGGGGACGACGUCAAGUCAUCAUGGCCCUUACGUGUAGGGCUACACACGUGCUACAAUGGCGCAUACAGAGUGCUGCGAACCUGCGAAGGUAAGCGAAUCACUUAAAGUGCGUCGUAGUCCGGAUUGGAGUCUGCAACUCGACUCCAUGAAGUCGGAAUCGCUAGUAAUCGCGUAUCAGAAUGACGCGGUGAAUACGUUCCCGGGCCUUGUACACACCGCCCGUCACACCAUGGGAGUGGGUUGCUCCAGAAGUAGAUAGUCUAACCCUCGGGAGGACGUUUACCACGGAGUGAUUCAUGACUGGGGUG